AUGAACGCUAGCUACAGGCUUAACACAUGCAAGUCGAGGGGCAGCAUGAACUUAGCUUGCUAAGUUUGAUGGCGACCGGCGCACGGGUGAGUAACACGUAUCCAACCUGCCGAUGACUCGGGGAUAGCCUUUCGAAAGAAAGAUUAAUACCCGAUGGCAUAGUUCUUCCGCAUGGUGGAACUAUUAAAGGAUUUCGGUCAUCGAUGGGGAUGCGUUCCAUUAGGUUGUUGGCGGGGUAACGGCCCACCAAGCCUUCGAUGGAUAGGGGUUCUGAGAGGAAGGUCCCCCACAUUGGAACUGAGACACGGUCCAAACUCCUACGGGAGGCAGCAGUGAGGAAUAUUGGUCAAUGGACGAGAGUCUGAACCAGCCAAGUAGCGUGAAGGAUGACUGCCCUAUGGGUUGUAAACUUCUUUUAUACGGGAAUAAAGUGAGGCACGUGUGCCUUUUUGUAUGUACCGUAUGAAUAAGGAUCGGCUAACUCCGUGCCAGCAGCCGCGGUAAUACGGAGGAUCCGAGCGUUAUCCGGAUUUAUUGGGUUUAAAGGGAGCGUAGGCGGACGCUUAAGUCAGUUGUGAAAGUUUGCGGCUCAACCGUAAAAUUGCAGUUGAUACUGGGUGUCUUGAGUACAGUAGAGGCAGGCGGAAUUCGUGGUGUAGCGGUGAAAUGCUUAGAUAUCACGAAGAACUCCGAUUGCGAAGGCAGCCUGCUGGACUGUAACUGACGCUGAUGCUCGAAAGUGUGGGUAUCAAACAGGAUUAGAUACCCUGGUAGUCCACACAGUAAACGAUGAAUACUCGCUGUUUGCGAUAUACAGUAAGCGGCCAAGCGAAAGCGUUAAGUAUUCCACCUGGGGAGUACGCCGGCAACGGUGAAACUCAAAGGAAUUGACGGGGGCCCGCACAAGCGGUGGAGCAUGUGGUUUAAUUCGAAGCAACGCGAAGAACCUUACCAGGGCUUGACAUAUAAAGUAAUAUUUAAGAGAUUAAAUAGCUCUUCGGAGACUUUAUACAGGUGGUGCAUGGUUGUCGUCAGCUCGUGUCGUGAGAUGUUGGGUUAAGUCCCGCAACGAGCGCAACCCCUGUGAUUAGUUGCCAGCGAGUAAUGUCGGGAACUCUAAUCAAACUGCCGGUGAUAAAUCGGAGGAAGGUGGGGACGACGUCAAAUCAUCAUGCCCUUUAUGUCUUGGGCUACACACGUACUACAAUGGCUAUAACAAAGAGAAGCGAGACAGUGAUGUGGAGCAAAACUCAAAAAAAUAGUCUCAGUUCGGAUUGAAGGCUGAAAUUCGCCUUCAUGAAGCUGGAAUUGCUAGUAAUGGCAGGUCAGCAUACUGCCGUGAAUACGUUCCCGGGCCUUGUACACACCGCCCGUCACACCAUGAGAGUCGGGAAUACCCGAAGCCUGUGAGCCAACAUAUUUAUAUGAGGCAGCAGUCGAAGGUAGAAUCGAUGAUUGGGGUG
rnacentral:rRNA from 1 species